UAUUUAAUUAACUCACCCCUAAUGCCUUGGCAGAGCCAAAACAAAUGAUUUCACAGGCCUUAUAUGGCCCAUGGGCUGGAUGUUCCCACCCCUGCUAUAGAGAACCUUCACCUUGCCCUCCUUCCUUAAAAUACCUCUCCUAUUUAGAACCCCUCAGAACUUGCUUAUUUUGGCCCAUCACAUCUAUGCAAAACCUCACUCCAGCAAGUAAAGGCCAUUUUCUCCUUUUAUUUGCAGUUGAACAUCUAUAAUAAUAAAAUUGUAAUAUGCUAAUUAGACCGGACGGCUGAACAGUGGAACGACCAUCGGGACAACCUUCAGGACGAAGCCGGGGCUGCAAGGGCCGAGCCCCUUGCAAGAAUUCCGUGUAUCGGGCCUCUAGGUUUUCAUAAAGCUUCUUUCCAAGAGCAACCUGAAGUGCUUUGCAUGCUCACUGGCUGACCCUCCACUUCCAGUACCCAGAAAAAUGGGUAAUUUGCCAUAACUCUGUGGCCCCUGGGGGUCUGCAUUCAUAAGUGAGAACUUCUGCUAUAUAGCAUCCUAACUGUUCACUUGUUAAAAUAUAACAUGGAAAUACCUGUUUUUGACCAAAGGCACUUUAAAAUCAGUUAUACCUUUAGAAUGUUGAGUUUUUCUGGACUUAUGAAUAUUCAAAGGUCAGAUAACUUAGUUUUAUUUAUACCCAUUUUGAAGAAGAAAUGAGCAUGAGUGCUUACAUUUGUCUGUUAAGCUUAUAUUAGUGCAUUAUAAGUAGAACAAUGCAUAAUAUCAAGCUAACCAAAUUAUAGAAAUUAUCAUUGCAGAGAUGCCAGAAAAAUGAAGCUUUAAGCUUUGGCUGAACCCUAUUCAGUUUCUCUAAAGUGAAAGUCAACACUUCUGGUUUUAAGUGAUUUUUUUUCCCAUUCUUUUUACUCAAGAAGACAUUUAUUGAAUAUCCUGUUUAAUGUGUUAAGCUAAACUCUGGAGUAGACUCAAUAAAUAAGCAAUACCCAUCCUCAAAGUGCCUUCUAAUUAAUAGGAGGUGGUAAUUGGGAUGGUCUCUACCCAGAAUUAUUUUACUACUUUGCUUAGCCAAUACUGACAGGAAGCCUUCACUAACCCAUUAAGUUUGUCUUGGAAAAAUGCCCCUUCUAAUGCCUUUCUAGAAGUCUUACAACACUAUCACUUAUAUACAGUUAUCCUUAUAAUUACUUCAUUAUCUGUCUGGUACAUGGACUGUGAGACCAUGUUUAUUUUGUUCUCUCUUGUAACCCAUCAUCUGGCACAAGUUGGUACUCAGUGUUUGUUGAAUGAAUAAACUGAAAAUUCAAAAAAUAUCUGUAUAAUAAAGAAUUCUGGAAUGGAACCAACAAAA